CGACGACGUCUCCGGUGGCAUCGCUAUCGAGUGCGCGGAGGAUAGAAUGGUCGGGGUCGAGCUCGACAUCGCCGUCGGGGACGAGUCGCUGCUGCUGCUGCUGCUGCCGCUCAAGAUAAGCUAUCAUCAUCAUGUCGUGUGAAGAAAUGCAUGUGGGAAUGGACGUCUGUCUGGGAAUCAAUAAUUCAAGCAAGUUGGGGAUGGCAACGUCGAUAUCUGCCACCAACAGAUAACAAUUCCUCUUCCUCCUCCUCUCCUCUCAUCUUCUUUUCCAUGUUGGUGGUGGUGGCCAUCUGCGAUGGAUGAUAUAACAUGAUGGAGAUGAGCCACAUCAACCCAUAAAGUCUUUAAGUGAUCAAUAUUUGUGGAAAUAAAAUUAUAUGUGCCAUCCAAUCCAAAAUUAUAGUGAAGAAAUUUUAUUUUUAUUUUUA